CCCAUUUCUUAGUUUGUAUCGCCAUUCCAAUACCGCUGCUACAGAUCCCUUGAAUUGCGCUUUAAUUCUCUAGCUCCUUAAUUUGUCCAUCUGAAGCGUAAGAAGAUCUAACGCCGAUUUUUACACCUGCUGCUCCUAGAAUACAACUCGAUCCAGGGUGAUCAAAUCAGGACCAUGGUGGACUACAUGUGUAUGUUCACAAUGGAUAAAUGAUGUUGUAUCUAUGGUCAGGUAAAUCAAGUUUAAAAAAAAAAAAACAAAAAACAAAAAAGAUGGCUUAUAGACGUCAUGAGGGCUCCACAUCUCACCUGACAGAGAAGGAGUUAUCACCAUCAAUUCUCCGUUUUGUUGGUGUACUGGAUGAUGCUGAUGUCUUACAUGUACCGCGCUUGCCAUCUUCGUUUGCUCCAAAGGUGGAGCACUUGGUGGACCAAGAAAUCCUCCUUGAGGAUUUAUGUGGACAGAUAUGGCCUGUGACUCUAUCCUAUGUUGACAAUGAAUUAUCAUUCGCAUUGUGAUGGAAAGUAUUUCAUAUGACCAUGCUCUCACUAGCAGAAAUUAAGGCUUUUUAUUGCUGCCGAAAAGUUGAUACGAAUGCUCAUUUUUCGACACAAGAAGCCUUUUGUGUCAACUUUGUAACAGAUUUUGACCGAUACAAGAACUCGAGUAACAAAAAGUCUAUGUGACGACAAUGUCCGUUACAAAAAGUUGAUGGUCAACACUCCUAUUGCGCACGUGCUAAAUUUAUUUGUAACGGUUUCAUUUUUUGUAACAAAAUUAUCCAUUGCAAAAAAAUCAGUAUUA